rnacentral:rRNA from 1 species
GUCCACGCCCGUAAACGGUGGGUGCUAGUUGUGGGUUCCAUUCCACGGAAUCCGUGACGAAGUUAACACAUUAAGCACCCCGCCUGGGGAGUACGGGUCGCAAGACUAAAACUCAAAGGAAUUGACGGGGGCCCGCGACCAAGCGGCGGAGCAUGCGGAUUAAUUCGAUGCAACGCGAAGAAACCCUUUACCCAAGGCUUGACAUAUACAGGAAAAGCGUAGAAAUACGCUCCCCGCAAGGUCUGUAUACAAGGUGGUGCAUGGUUGUCGU